rnacentral:rRNA from 1 species
UAGGGAAUCUUCCACAAUGGACGCAAGUCUGAUGGAGCAACGCCGCGUGAGUGGAGAAGGGUUUCGGCUCGUAAAGCUCUGUUGUUAAAGAAGAACGUGGGUAAGAGUAACUGUUUACCCAGUGACGGUAUUUAACCAGAAAGCCACGGCUAACUACGUGCCAG